rnacentral:rRNA from 1 species
GGAAUCGCUAGUAAUCGCAGAUCAGAAUGCUGCGGUGAAUACGUUCCCGGGCCUUGUACACACCGCCCGUCACACCAUGGGAGUUUGUAACACCCGAAGUCAGUAUCCUAACCGCAAGGGGGAGCUGCCGAAGGUGGGAUAAGCGACUGGGGUGAAGUCGUAACAAGGUAAC